UACCGAUCGUUGGUUUGAAUGGAGCGAGAGAUUUUCGCUGUUAAGGCGGUCAAUUCGAUUCCUUGAUCUUUUUUUAUGUGAUGACAGGGAAGUGAUCCUGUAAAUACACUAAGGUGGAUCCGUCUGAGUAGAAACUGCAUUACACCAAUUAUCAAGGGAAAAGCUUGAGAGGAUUGGGCUAAUAAAUAACGCAGAUGAUGGCUAAAGUUGGGGCGAUGACCAAUGCAGUUAAUGUGGGAAUAGCCGUCCAGGAAGACUGGGAAAACAGAGAGUUCAUUUCGAACAUCUCUCUCAACGUUCGCCGGCUGUUCGAAUUCGUUUUGCAGUUUGCAAGGAACGCCGUGUACUACUGUUCUCUUUCUGUUGAAGAAGUAAGCUUACAAGUAAAAUUGAGAAUGAACAUAGUUUCAGCAUUCUGUUCAGGAGGAAACGGAUCAAUUUUGGCAAGUAGGUGGAUCAGUUGUUUUUUUUUUUUUUCCUUCACAGUUUUUGUUUAUUAGAAUUGUAAAGGAACUAUCCCCAACUUAUGAGAAUUAGAACAGAACAUUUUGCAGCUUCCUUGUGUGAGAAGUUGUCCAGCCAAGGUAAGGGAUUUGCCUUUGGUUAUGCAAUCUUAAUUUUGGACAUCAGAAGCAGCAGAAUGCUCACAAGUCACAAACCAGCUUGAUCUAAGCAUCUGCUCUCAGAAAGUGGUGAUACUAGUGGCAAACCUCCAAUUUCACCAGUCAGCAAGUUCGCCAUGAACGCUUUUACUCACAUUUAUUUGGUUUCAAACUAGUUUAUCCUUAACCCUAUUCAGUCAUAAAUAAGAAAGCCAGCCCUAGAAUAUGGAGGUCAGACAUGCCCUGGCCAUUCAGCAUGAAAGAGAAAGCAACUGUCACGAAGGAGAAGUGUUUUAGAUGUCAUGACAGGAGUUGCAGAGAAGCGGGAGUAGCCAUUUUGAAUUCCUACAAACACCCAGUCUGUCAUGAACCAUAUACCGUCUUACUAGGAUGCAUCUCACGGAUGUUGAAUGGAUGCACUAUGCGGACAAGUUUAUUAAAUUUUUUAUGCCAUCUAAAUGGUUGCAGCAUUUAUUUGUUGGUUUCACCAUUUUUCUCUUAUUCUUUACCGUGACAAGCUGUUCUU